rnacentral:rRNA from 1 species
GGAGGAAAAGAAACUAACAAGGAUUCCCCUAGUAACGGCGAGUGAAGCGGGAAGAGCUCAAAUUUGUAAUCUGGCCCUUUCAGGGUCCGAGUUGUAAUCUCGAGAAGUGUUUUCCGCGCCGGACCGCAUACAAGUCUGUUGGAAUACAGCGUCAUAGUGGUGAGAGCCCCGUAAUUGAUGUGGAUGCCCGGUGCUUUGUGAUACACUUUCGAAGAGUCGAGUUGUUUGGGAAUGCAGCUCAAAUUGGGUGGUAAAUUCCAUCUAAAGCUAAAUAUUGGCGAGAGACCGAUAGCGAACAAGUACCGUGAGGGAAAGAUGAAAAGCACUUUGGAAAGAGAGUUAACAGUACGUGAAAUUGUUGGAAGGGAAACGCUUGAAGUCAGACUUGCUAUUCGGAAUUCAGCCGCAAGGUGUACUUUUCGAUUUGCAGGCCAGCAUCAGUUUUUGGGGGUGGAAAAGGGUGGAGAGAAGGUAGCAACCUUGGUUGUGUUAUAGCUCUUUACUGGAUUCAUCUUUGGGGACUGAGGAUCGCAGUGCGCAAUUUACUUUGCAAACCUUUCGAGGUUUUCGUACUUAGGAUGCUGGUGGAAUGGCUUUAAACGACCCGUCUU